UACGAGGGGGGCAAGCGUUGUUCGGAAUUAUUGGGCGUAAGGGGCGCGUAGGCGGUGCGGUAAGUCACCUGUGAAAUCUCUGGGCUCAACUCAGAGUCUGCAGGCGAAACUGCCGUGCUGGAGUAUGGGAGAGGUGCGUGGAAUUCCCGGUGUAAGCGGUGAAAUGCGCAGAUAUCGGGAGGAACACCUGUGGCGAAAGCGGCGCACUGGACCAUAACUGACGCUGAGGCGCGAAAAGCUAGGGGAGCAAACGGG
rnacentral:rRNA from 1 species